CGACCUCGAUCUGCUGCGGGCAGAUGAAGUGGAUGUGGGUGUCGAUGCCGCCGGCGGUGACGAUCCGCCCCUCGCCCGCGAUGAUCUCGGUCCCCGGGCCGAUGACCAGGCGGGGGUCGACGCCGUUCUGGGUCAGCGGGUUGCCCGACUUCCCCACGGCCACGAUCCGGCCGUCGCGGAUGCCGAUGUCUCCCUUGACGAUCCCCCAGUAGUCGAGCACCACCGCGUUGGUGAUGACCAGGUCGCAGUGGGGCGGGCCCAUCGGGUCG
rnacentral:sRNA from 1 species